CGGCUUUCUCAUUGACCCCCGAUACCGUUGCCUAGAAACAAUUUUAAACGGAAAACAGAGUAGGAGGGGGAAAGAUGGUGGAACUGUAGGGUCCCCAAGUCACCUGUCCCCACUAAAUUACCUAAAUAACUUUCAAAUCAUCCUGAAAACCUACAAAUUCGGCCUGAGAUUUAAAGAAAGAACAGCUGGAAUGCUACAGUGAGAAGAGUUCACUCUUCUAUCACGGAAGAGACACCAGAGACCUUGCUCUUUCUCUGCCAUAUGAGGACAAGUGAGAAGACAGCCGUCAGCAAGCCGGGAAGAGCACUCUCACGCGAAACCCAUCCUGCUGGACCUUGAUCCUGGACUUCUAGCCUCCAGAACAGAGAAAAUAAGUUUCUGCUGCUCACAGCACCAGUCUGCAGCCUGAGCUGAAGUUCUGCACCUGACAAAAGAAGUUGCUGAACAGAUGAGGGAAGGAGAGGAGAGAUUAAGCAAAUUCCACCUAAUUCUAGGCACGUGCUUGUGAUAUAAGGUAUCAUGCCUCUUGGUGUAUUAUUCUUCGAUCAAGAUUGCCUAACUUCAAAUGAAGAACUCCACUUCAGAGCUCUGCUUAUAUAUAAGACUAUUACCUGAGGAAUUAUUACUAGGCUGAUUUUCAGUUAUGUGUCCUGGUAUUAAUAAAUCCUUGUUAU